rnacentral:rRNA from 1 species
GCGAACGCUGGCGGCAGGCUUAACACAUGCAAGUCGCGCGGGCGUAGCAAUACGUCAGCGGCAGACGGGUGAGUAACGCGUGGGAACGUACCUUUUGGUUCGGAACAACACAGGGAAACUUGUGCUAAUACCGGAUAAGCCCUUACGGGGAAAGAUUUAUCGCCGAAAGAUCGGCCCGCGUCUGAUUAGCUAGUUGGUGAGGUAACGGCUCACCAAGGCGACGAUCAGUAGCUGGUCUGAGAGGAUGAUCAGCCACAUUGGGACUGAGACACGGCCCAAACUCCUACGGGAGGCAGCAGUGGGGAAUAUUGGACAAUGGGGGCAACCCUGAUCCAGCCAUGCCGCGUGAGUGAUGAAGGCCCUAGGGUUGUAAAGCUCUUUUGUGCGGGAAGAUAAUGACGGUACCGCAAGAAUAAGCCCCGGCUAACUUCGU